UACGGGGGGGGCAAGCGUUGUUCGGAAUUACUGGGCGUAAAGGGCUCGUAGGUGGCCAACUAAGUCAGACGUGAAAUCCCUCGGCUUAACCGGGGAACUGCGUCUGAUACUGGAUGGCUUGAGUUUGGGAGAGGGAUGCGGAAUUCCAGGUGUAGCGGUGAAAUGCGUAGAUAUCUGGAGGAACACCGGUGGCGAAGGCGAGUCCCUGGACAACUCCUGACACUGAGGCACGAAAGCUAGGGGAGCAAACAGG
rnacentral:rRNA from 1 species